CUCUUGCCUCGCCCCUAGAGUUGGUCAUUUCAUUGUUAUCUUUUGUUUUCACGUGUUAUUGGAAAAACAAAACAAAAAAAUGUUUUGCUGGCAUGCAUUUUAAAUUUGUGUAAAAGGAAUUGGAUUAUUUCUCAUUCAAGUUUCUUUUCACUCAGUGCUAGGAUUUCAAAAUCAAUAUUAAUAUCUUCCUCUCCUUCUAACCGCUGUGCUCAUCCACCUUAUUUUACCUCUCCCAUCUCCUGCCACCACCAAGAGUACAAUCAUCACUCUCGAAUAUAUCCCUUUAUGCAGUGCUUCUCAAACAUUUGUGUGCAUGUGUGUUACCUGGGAUAUUGUUAAAAUGUGGGCUCUGAUUCAACAGGCCUGGGUGGGGCCUGAGACUGCAUUUCUAGCCAGCUCCCAGGUGAUACCUAUACUUCUGGUCCUGGUGGAACCACUCUGGGGAACAAGGCCCUUAUGGGCUUCUAUGAGAAUUCAUUCUGGAUUUCUGGGUCACAGAGUAUGUAUUGAUCUAAUUUGAUUAAUAUUGCCCAUCACCUCUCCAGUCUGGCUGUACAACCUCUACCAGCAGAUCAGGAGGUUGGAAGGCCUAUAUUUAUGUGGGGAUGGGAAGAAGGCCUUCUCCUUGCUUCCUCCCCUGACCCCUACAGUGUGCCUGGUCUGGGCCAAACCUCCUGUCUCCCUUAAUCAGAGUGGCCCCAAGACUCUGAAGUGAUGUCCCUGGCUCGCAAUGCCCAGCCAAGUCAAUGAGAGACCCAAGAUUGGCAUCCUGGCUUUAAACAGGUGUUCUUGCCUUGGUUUUAUCCUUGAGGAACAUGAAGUUCAAGACCAAGGCCAUGGAGCUAAAAGGCCACAUCUGAGGGAGAACCACAAGAAAACGGGAUGGAAGGACCGGGCCUGGGGUUUUCAGGCACCGAUGCUGAAGGCAUCUGACCAGUGGCCUGAAUACUUGUGCAGCUCCACAGCAAGUGGGUUUUAGCAAAAAUAAACUUCGGUUCUAGGAGUUGGUCCUCAUGGCCUGAAUGUUUAGCAGAAAAAAGAAACUUUAGUUCUAGGGCUUCAGGAGCAGAAGUUUUACGGUUAGAUAUAUCCAGAGGGGUCAGGAUCUGGGUGGGGUCUGUUAGGUGGGUCUCAGCUGUGGGUAAAGCUAUCUACCAUGUGCCUUACUCAGUAAUAACAGGUUUUGUUUGGAGAGUUAGCGGGUAUGUGAAGAGCCAGGAUGCUGGACAUGAAGGGAUGCCACCUUCUAAGACCUUCCUGAGCUGUGAGCGGCUAAUCAGGUCAGCUUCAGAAACCCAUGGGCUCUGCUUUCUCCACACGCACAUCUGUCCAGGCGUUUCCAGGUGCCAGGCCCCAGCCCCAAGCAUUUCACAAUCAGAAGAGCUCAACAUGUGCACGUUUUGAGAUUUCAUGUCACAUGACCUCUUACAUCUCGUCCACACCCGCCCGCCCCUGUUUGCCAUCGGAGGGCUGAAACUGUAUGCAUGACAGAGCAUUUCUCUGAAGGCCUGGGGAAGCUUCCUGCUCUUCCAACCACCUUCAGGGUCAAAAGGCCUUUUGAGCCUACACAUUAAUUCUUAGGCUUCAGUAUAAUAUCUUACAGCUCUCUGGUCUUUACGAAGUACUUCACACAUAGGUAUUGCCUUUGACUCACAAUGACCCCAUGACAGGGUUGAGACUCACUUAUCAUGGAGAUUCAAAAGAAUUGGUUGGCCAUGGCCGCACAUUGUUUAAGUGAGGAAAUGGGACUUCUUGUUCAUUUUUCCAUAACAGACCUUAGGAAACUUAGAGUAGGUCUCUUCUGGGAUCCUCACUACCCUAGUAGUGGCCCACCUCCCAGACUCAGGGAUGCUCACCAAGGCAGAAGGGAAGAAGUCUAGGGAGUGGGGGAUGCCUGAGCAGAAAGGAGCGAGAGGUGUUAGUUGAGGUCUCAUGGGACUUCUGGACGGCCUUCUCCCAGGUAGGUUUCUGUCAGUGGGCUCUUUCUAGAGCCUGGGGAAAGAGCGGGGG
rnacentral:lncRNA from 1 species